UACAGAGGUCUCAAGCGUUGUUCGGAUUCAUUGGGCGUAAAGGGUGCGUAGGCGGCGCGGUAAGUCGGGUGUGAAAUCUCGGGGCUUAACUCCGAAACUGCAUUCGAUACUGCCGUGAUUGAGGACUGGAGAGGAGACUGGAAUUUACGGUGUAGCGGUGAAAUGCGUAGAUAUCGUAAGGAAGACCAGUGGCGAAGGCGGGUCUCUGGACAAUUGCUGACGCUCAGGCACGAAAGCGUGGGGAGCAAAAGGG
rnacentral:rRNA from 1 species